UCCUUUCUGUCAUUCUGUAAGGUUUCCCUUAACUAGAUCAGUGACAUAUGUAGAGAAUACCUGCAUGGUAUAAACAUUAUUUUAUUAUGGGUUCUGUCACCAAGUUCAUUCAAUACAUCCUUUCUGGAUAAAUAAUUUCUGAGUUGGAUAUGUUGUGGAGUAGCCAUCAUGGCAGUGGGAGCAUCUGUCAUAAGCCACAAAGACAUGGUGGAUGGGUGUCCAGGAAUGGGUUAACAAUUUUACAUUGAUUGCCAUGAGGAAGACAGUUUGUUUCUGAAGAUUUCAGAUUUUGAGCUGCAUUCAGGAAUGAAUUAAGUUCAAGAACCAAGCUUCCACUGUAUAAUGUGUCCUCUGAUCACCCCUGAACACAUGAAGCUGUUGAGUCUAUCUGAUAAAAGAUAACAUGGAGAUAAAAUAAACGGAUCAUAUUUAGAUGCGAUCCUCAGACAAGGGCCUUAAGACACUUGACUGGCCUACCUGACAGCCAUUCCAGGAUGACAACCUCUAUCAAUAACAAAUGAAGGAUUCUUGUGCUGCUUGCUUCCAGGAGAGUUUCACCAUCAACCUGUCUUGCUGCUAGUCCAACAUCAAUUCCAAUGAAGAGGUUUACUGGGGUCUUGAGGAGCAGAAAAGACCACAUUCUCAUCUCAUCUCUUUGCCUCUGGUCUUUUGUCUUUCUCUCUGGAAAUGGGUGUGUAAGACUUAAUGUUGGCUGGCUGGUGCUGGUACAUGAGCUACACUGUGUUCAAAGUCCUCAAGACUCCUCAACUAUGUUAUUGAUUGAUUGAUUUUUUUUUUAAUCUGUUUCUCCAGAGAGUCCUUUAAGUUAACUUAACUUGCAUUUGAAUAAAAAUACAGGACAAGACUA